ACAUGUGAUGGGGAACAACCAAAUUGAGCCUUAUAAAAUAUGGAAAAACUAGGACAAAGGGUCGUGAUCUCGCGAGGGUGAGCAAACUCCAAAAACCCGUCCCCGGUUCGGAUUGCAGGCUGCAACUCGCCUGCAUGAAGCAGGAAUCGCUAGUAAUCGCCGGUCAGCCAUACGGCGGUGAAUCCGUUCC
rnacentral:rRNA from 1 species